UAAUACGUAGGGGGCAAGCGUUGUCCGGAAUCAUUGGGCGUAAAGCGCGCGUAGGCGGCCCGGUAAGUCCGUUGUGAAAGUCAAAGGCUCAACCUUUGAAUGCCGAUGGAUACUGCCGGGCUCGAGUCCGGAAGAGGCGAGUGGAAUUCCUGGUGUAGCGGUGGAAUGCGCAGAUAUCAGGAGGAACACCAAUAGCGAAGGCAGCUCGCUGGGACGGUACUGACGCUAAGGCGCGAAAGCGUGGGGAGCGAACAGGAUUAGAUACCCUGGUAGUCCACGCCGUAAACGAUGGGCACUAGGUGUGGGAGGUGUCGACUCCUCCCGUGCCGCCGCUAACGCAUUAAGUGCCCCGCCUGGGGAGUACGGCCGCAAGGCUA
rnacentral:rRNA from 1 species